UCUCUCAUCUUAGAACUGACAUUAGCUAAUUAUCCUUUUUUCCCGUAUAACCCAAAUUAAACCAAAAUCUUUAAAUCACAUUUAGCAUUUGAUUUGAUACAUCUAAAUAGCUUAAAUUAUCCCCCAACUCGUUCAUAUAUACCAUCUUGUUCAGGAUACUAAUAAAUUCUCAAGUUUUAACAAUACAGUCCCUUUGAAACAUUUUAUCGAACUCGUAACAUGCAUAGUAUAAAAAUCAAAUUUUACAUAGUAUUUGAAUAUGAAAUCAUGCCAAUCUCCUUACAAAUUCUCCUUAUGACUCUCGAAUCCAUCUGAUUCCUUCGUGUAGACAACCUCCCACAACCAAACAUGGUAUUAACAGGACAUAAUUAACUAAAUUUUCA
rnacentral:lncRNA from 1 species